CCUACGGGUGGCAGCAGUGGGGGAUCUUGCACAAUGGGCGAAACCCUGAUGCAGCGACGCCGCGUGAGUGAAGAAGUAUUUCGGUUUGUAAAGCUCUAUCAGCAGGGAAGAAAAUGACAGUACCUGACCAAGCAGCCCCUGCUAACUACGUGCCAGCAGCCGCGGUAAUACGUAGGGGGCACGCGUUCUCCGGAUUUACUGGGUGUAAAGGGAGCGUAGACGGUUAUGUAAGUCUGGCGUGAAAGCCCGGGGCUCAACCCCGGGGCUGCUUUGGAAACUGUGUAACUGGAGUACAGGAGGGGCAGGCGGAAUGCCUGGUGUAGCGGUGAAAUGCGUAGAUAUCAGGAGGAACACCGGCGGCGAAGGCGGCCUGCUGGACUGAAACUGACGUUGAGGCUCGAAAGCGUGGGGAGCAAACAGGAUUAGAUACCCGUGUAGUC
rnacentral:rRNA from 1 species